rnacentral:rRNA from 1 species
CAACUGAAGAGUUUGAUCCUGGCUCAGAUUGAACGCUGGCGGCAUGCUUUACACAUGCAAGUCGAACGGGGUGAAGGGGCAACUCUUCAUUCAGUGGCGAACGGGUGAGUAAUACAUCGGAACGUACCUCGUAGUGGGGGAUAACUCGGCGAAAGCCGUGCUAAUACCGCAUAUGCUCUACGGAGGAAAGCAGGGGACCUGAGAGGGCCUUGUGCUAUGGGAGCGGCCGAUGUCCGAUUAGCUUGUUGGUGGGGUAAUGGCCUACCAAGGCGACGAUCGGUAGCUGGUCUGAGAGGAUGAUCAGCCACACUGGGACUGAGACACGGCCCAGACUCCUACGGGAGGCAGCAGUGGGGAAUUUUGGACAAUGGGGGCAACCCUGAUCCAGCC